rnacentral:lncRNA from 1 species
CCAUCGAUAUGCAAAUAUCGUGUUGCCCCACAGGCCCACACACACCCAUCAACAAGCAGGAACGGGUUGUCUCUCAACAGAAAAAGAGAGAGCAAAAAGGUGAGGUUGCUGCACAUGGAUUGCUCCUGUCAUGCAGAGCACAAGUGCGUCUUUAGUUACCAUUGUUGUACCGCCAAAAUUUGGCACCAAAGCACAGUCACAUGCUCUCCGACCUGACUACCCAACUAUAGUAUCUUGCGGUGUACAUAUUUCCCCAAAGUUCUCUCGCAUGGCGCGUUGUGUGAUAUUACACAUCGGAAAAGAACAGUAAAUAAAAGAGAGCAACUACAAUGUGCAGAAACGGUCCGCCAAAUCAGCAGAAGUCCUACAAAAGUGUCCUAGUUGUCGAAAGUUUGGAGCAAUCAGCUCAACCUGGCAUGGAGGGAAAUUGGCGGACGAAAUAAACAAACAAAUAUUAGGUAUAAGCCCAUGAUUAAAAAAUUUAAACAAUCUAGGCGAGAGAGCAACAUCAGAAGAUAUAUGUGGAGACUGAUCAUAAGUUGUUGAUGAGCAAUAAUUCUCGACUAAACCAGGAUGAAGAACCAACAGGAAUCGAAAGCGUGGUAUUUGACAAGCUUCAUCACAUGAACCAUCAUUGAAUCAAGUCACCCGGACGAGACGUCACAUGCGUCCAAUGUGGGGAGAACACGAGAAGCAAACAGAUGCAAAAAUGGACCACAAUCCAAUCAUCAGAAAAUAUCUAAGAGUCUAUAAAUGCGCUUGGUUCAAAAAGCUAUCAAGCACUGAACGCAAGGUACCCAGUUGAAAACAAAGCCAUAUGAUGGUCAGCAUUUGUGAAAUCUACUCUCUGUAUGCAAUAUAUAUGAGAAGAAUACAAAUGAAGGGAAAUUAACGGAGCUACUCAUGAUUUGUCAUAUCGAUUACCAGCCCAUAUUGGACAACACAUACCAGACAAAAAUCACAUGACCCUUACGAAACUACCAGAAAUCAGUUACAUCUCAAAGUGUGGACAGCCCAUAUUCCUUCAACUAACGCAUAUAAGUGGUUAGGACCUAACAUAAGAGAAUAGAAGCAAUGAUAUGCAAAGACACAUAAAAUGAGAAUGAAACCAAAGGAGUUAUAUGCGAAAUGAUUCUGAAGCAUCAUUUUCUUGCUAGUGAUGGGAGCAUGCAUAUUAUGAUAAGCAUUCACUUAAAAGUGAACAAAAUAAGGAAAAGACAUCCUAGAGUACAAAGUACUGGUGCAAAAAAGUAAACAAAAAAGAUUCAUAAGUUACAGCUGUUGGUAUUUUAUUUAUAAACUUCAGUUUGGCUUAUGGGCCUCCUGGGUUGCCCAAUUUCAAUUGGGCCUUACCUGAAAGCUUGUAAAUCACUUACUACAUGUGAGUUUUAUCCUACAUUAAAAACUCACGACAUGUAAUAGUACCUCAUAUACUCCAUCAUCUACUAGUUGUUGCUUAGGUAAUAAUGAGGGUAGUGUCAUCCACUAAACACACGCACGUGCUCACGGCACGAGCCGGACCGGACCGGACCACGUGCAGUGUUGGCUUGUUGGUCUCGGUUCACCUGCACUUUCACUUGGUUCUAUUUUAUCUUUUUCACUGAGCCUUACUACUCUUCUUUAUCUUCUUCUUUACUAGAUCUCUGAUAUGUCUUUUGGUUCACACUGCAUUAUCUUGGAGACAUGCCAACGGAUAGCUCGUGAUCAUUUUAUCGUUAGAAAUAAUUAUGGAGGAACAAUCUUACUUCUACGACAGUGCCUGACACACCCCGACUCAUAAGCCUCAUCUGAAAUUUUUAUCUCUAUAAUAUUUUGUUAUUGGUUCUUGCAUUUGUUUUUAAAAGAGUUGUUUAAAGCUUGCGAUUCAAAAUAUUUUAAAAGAAAUAUUUCUACAAAAAUAAUACACAGAUUUUCCAACAACGGAAAGUAAGAAAAGCAUAAGCAGCCCAUUGUUUUGAAUCUUAAACCAGCACAAAGAUUUAAGGAGUCCUAAAAUUCAUCUAACCUAUUGAAGUGGUAGAAUAAUAUAGCAUAUUGCACAUGAAACCAUCAAAAGCGAGCAAAUAGAAUUCGAAUCACGAUAUCAGUCUUAGGUUAAUAAAAACUACAGAUGAGGUUAUAAAACUACUCCAGGAUAAACUAAGGAACAUGAGUCGCAAAAUAAAUGGUGUGUGAUACAUGUGCCCUCCUAUGCCGUUGGCACUGUAAGUUCAGAUACAUAAAUGAGACUAAUCAAACAAAUACAUGAAUGCUGGGUCUCCAAAAUCUGACGUAUCGACUUCUCGGUUGCUUGUGUUCCUGUUUUGCUUUCCCAUUUGUGCCCUUUUGUGGUUUCGGGUCAUCCUCUCUCUCUCUCCAAUCUCUUUCCGAAGCAGAUGUCUCUCUCCCUGCGCUUUGAGCUGCAAGCGCGAUCUCUGUUGGUGGCCACGGCGCGAUCUUCGCCGACGGCCAAAUCCACCAAGGAUCUCCCAACUAAUAGCUGAGAGAUGACGUGCUAGCUACUCCGUUGCCGCGGUUCCUACUUUACGAUUUUUUUCCCUUUUCGUUUGAAGGGCUUUCCCAUUUUUCUUUUGCACCCUUUCAGUGGUUCGAGUCUGCCAGUUGCACUCUCUUUCUCCAAUCUAGCACACUCACUCCCAACAUACAAAUCUACUGAGGAUCUCCCAGUUAUUAAAGACUGAGAUGACUAAGAUAGUUGAAACCGAAUGUGGUAUCUCCUUGGUCGCCGAUUACUCUGGGAAACUAUGAUAAUGGCCUCGCCCACUAUUAUUAACACUUAUUAAUAUCUAUAUUAACCUACAUGUUUCUGCUAAGGGUCUAUGUUAAGCAAACUCCAUAAAUUCUUAUCUCUUUUCAAGAUCCCCUCCAUGGGUUCCUUCUUUGGAACACAAGAAGGUUUGCCUCUUUGAUACUUAUAUCUGUAAUUUCUGCAGAGAUUAUUGAUUAUACAUACAUAAUUUGUUUAGUUUUGACACAGUUCUCCUAAUUUCCUUCUCUAGUAGGUUGAGACUCUGAUCGUCCUCUUUUCUUCUUCCCUGGGACACAAGAAGGUUUGCCUCUUUGAUGCUUACACCUGUGAUUUCUGCAUUAAUUAUUGAUUAUAUGAUUUAGUUCUGACAAAGUUAUCCCCAUGUUUUUCUCUGAUUGAGACAGUCAUCAUCCUCUUUUCUUCUCCGUGGUGCUUUUUUUGCAUGUUAUGCUGCUACUUUGUUGGCAAACUUGCUUAGUAAGGUGUUAGAACUUUAUCUAUUUUGCAUAUGAUCUGACUGUGCUCUUUUCUUGCUGAUUUCUACAUGUUUUGGGCCAUGCUUAAGUUUGUUUUUUUCUUUAUUAUUGGGUUAUCAUGGCGUAGCAAUAUGACCGGCCUCACGGCAAUCAUUACAGCCAUUAAACAAUACCAAAAAAUUAUUUCAUUUUUCAGACAUUUUUUAAUUUUUCUUUCAUCAUCCUCCUUUCUUCCUUGGAACACGAGAAGAUUUUCCUCUUUGAUGCUUAAACCUGUAAUUUCUGAAUAGAUUAUUAUUUAUAUAUAUGUGAUUUAGCUUUAACAAAGUUCUCCCAAUUUCUUAAGCAAUUCCCCAACAUUCUCUUGCUUUUUUCCCACUUUUUCCUAUAGAAAAACAAGAGUAAAACAAAACAAAGCAAGGCAAUUGUUACUUCAAUUACCUUUUCCUUUUUUUACUUUCUCCUACAGUCGUAUGUAUUUUUCUUGAUUCUCAAUUCUUGAUAUUUUGUAUAUAACUGCCGGAGAGAUUGUAUAUAUAAAAUUGUGUCCACAUACUUUAAAAUCCACCACUAAACAUUGGCAUCAAAACUGUUGGCAGCGAAGCACAGGUACACUCGCAUAUUCAAAUUGACCAUUCUUAAGAAUGAAAGCCAACCAAAAAAUUUUUUUUUAAAAAAUCCAAAUGUGUCACUGAGAGAAGUUGUAUUUAAAGGCUCACAUCUGCUGGAUCAUUGAGAACUCAUAACAGCAACGGCAGUAGAAGCAAAAACAACAAUGUCAUUAGACCCACCUACUACGAGUUGCCUAUAUAGAUCUAUUCCUCCAUUCAACUCUGAUUCCAGCAAAAUUCUUACAUCAAGUGGUCCCAUCCUCAUUUUCAACUUCCCAUUACUUUCUACAACAUCAGUUUUCAUCUUCUGCUAACACUCUGAUAUAAAAUAAUUGCCGACUGCAUCUUAGUCUUAGGCCUACUUGUAGUUAAGAACUUUCAUAUUCUAAAUCUUCUUCAAGUUCUCAACUAUUAGAUACAUGCUAAACUGUAUUUGAUUCAUCAAUAACAUGACACAAUCAGGAAAAAUGUAUACCAAUUAACCUCAUGUAAAAUACUAUUAACCACAGAAGAAAACUGAGGACACAAUUAUGAAACUUGAUGAAAUCCCAUUGUUAUAAUAAAUUUGCUGGAUUCAAUCCUCACACUACUGCUGCAAGUCCCCCAUAAAGUUGCAUUUACAUGUUGUUGAUAUCUUGGCAUCCAUAAUGUUAAGGAGUUUAAUUGGUUAACACACCCACUCCAAAAAUACCUCAUGGAUUUGCCAAUACAUCCACACACUAUAAGGGCGAUAUUGUGGGGAACCCAAAGCAUUUCUAUGUGUUUUCUAGAGUAAUCAGUUAUUAUCACAAUUCUUUCAGAUUUGCACACCUAUUCCUCUCGCAGGUGACAUCGCCUGCAUUAUUUUACUUCUCCAAUUGACGCUAUCACGCCUCUUUAAAAUACACAUCAUAUUAUGCAAAAGGAAUUUGUUAACGUAGACUCUUUUUGUUAUAUAAAGCCAUGUCAAUAUUUUCAGCAAACUUAAGAAGCCAGCAGAAGGGCCACUAAUUAAGUAGGCCUCAAAGCAUAUUACAUGCCCAGAAUGAUGGUUCACAUUAAGCAUUAUAGAAUGAUGGUCUGUAUUAAACAUUAUGAAACAGUUUAGCUCUAAACUUCCAAUAAGAUCAUAAGCUCCUCUCUAUUCAGUAAGACCAUUCCAUGUCAUCAUUGUCAUGAUUAUAGGAUAAAUUAUCUUUUCAUGGUUUGUUCUUUCUUGUUACAUAAUAGUGCUGAUAUUUUUCACUACAAACAAUUUAUAGGACUAAUCCCCUUUAGUUCCUAGAAUUUGAUCGACAAACAAACUUGAACGGGACAUAAAAAGUUGCACAAAUUUGUACGCUAGGGAGGCAAGGAAAGCUCCUCUAGCCAUUUAAAUGAACACGAGCGAUGUGGUGGGGUUAGCAUGAUUUUGAUGCACACUUUUGCUAAGGGAAAAUUUACAUCAUUACUUGCUAAAAAAUUCUACUCAAUCCCUCCUAAAAAACUUUGGCAUUUUAAUCACAACUAGUGAAUAGGGUAAAUCCCCUAUUCUCCUUCGAAUAUCUAUUAUACCCUAUUCUCUAACAAAGUGUCCUCUAUGAAGGAGAGAGUACCUUGUCAUUUAAAUGACAGGAUUUGAGGGCAUCAGGAGUAAAAACCAAGUUUCCAUUUCAAAGGUACUGUUUGGAUACAUAAAAUAUAUAAGGAUAGUUUAAUUCUUACAAGGUAUUAUUGUAAAGAAAGUGUAGCAAUAGAGAAAUAGUGGAAUGUAUUGAUAAACCACAAUAUUUUGAGCAACAAUUUAGAUAGCCUAAGUCACCCUUUAAGUGGAAUAUAUGAUCCAGAGUAUCAGGAUAUCUUGCAAUUUCUGCCCAGAACUUUAUCAACAUGUUGGAACUUCUUUAUCUACCAUAGAUCACAUCAAACGCCUCUGCAUACCCAAUGUCCAUUCAUUGGAUAACAUAUCUCUGCAUCUAAACAAUCCCUAGAAGACUUCGCACAUAAAAGCGCCCUCCCAAAAAAGUAAAUGAACUUCAUGAAACCUAACAAACAUAAGCCCCGACCAGCAAAGAAUGCACAUGAAAUCCAGCUAAUCGGUUUAUUCAUACAAAAAAGGACUGCUCAAAGGAUUAGAAAGGCAUGGAAGAUUCCAACAACAGUAAAUAAAGCAACUAAACUUUCAAAAAAGGUGAAUAACAAAGUAUGAAAAAUAUCUUUAAAUAAAUUCUACAGUAUUAAACAACUUUUGGAAAAUGUUAUGCACUUCAUUACAUUAUCCUCAGUAAUAUUUACUUUGGACAGCAAGAUUCAAAGCGGAAAAAAAAAGAGAGAAAAAACAGAUGAAACGAGUAAAUCAAAAGGUAGAGAAAAAAAAAGCCCCUAGCUGUUGCUUAGAACCAACGAGGGAACUUGUAUAUGAUUCACAUGGCAUAAGAAAGAAAAAGAGGAUAAUGCAUUUUCUCUUUUAAGACCCAACUAGAGAAAUCCUAGUUGAUAGGUAUCAGGCUAUAUUACAGGAGUUAGCAAGAGGAUCCCACUUAUUGUGAGAUCCUGCAGUCAAUUACUAAAUUGGCAUAGAAUAAGGAAUGAUUUCAUUCCUUAAUCUACUGUGCAAAGGAGAAAGCUAAUCAUAGAUAUGACUAUAUACCUGUCAGCCAAGAUUUUGGAUAGUUCGUCAGUUGCUUAUUACAUACAAUGAUACAAAACAUAUCUUCACAUGUUAGUUCUUUUCCUUAUCCUUGCUUUAAUAUUUGGAUUUAGUAACAGGCAAACCAAGUAGAGUACUCACAACUAGAACUGCUAGGCUUUUAUUCCAUGAAACUAAACAGAUGCUGGACAGUCGGUCCUUGUAAAUCAGACACCAACUUCAGCAUUAUAAAUGUACCUUCGAAUCUCAAAACUUUGAGAGCUACUCUGAUUAAUAUGUGCGACAGAUUAGUUAUAGUGAAGAUCGGUCCAGCCACCUUCUAAAGCUCACGAUCUUAAGAUGAAAUAUCAAUAUUUUGUCAAAUCAGGCAGCAGGAUCAGACUGGAAAAAAAAAAGGCUCAAUUUUCCUGUGGAAUGGACGAUCUCAAAAUGACAAUUCAAACAAGAAGAUCAUUAGAUUGAUGAAAUAAAGGUCUAUUAAGAAAUGGUAGAGUCCUUCAUUAACUCUUAUUGACCAGCUUAACUACAAAGAUAGAAAGAGGUCCAAGAAAAUAUCCAUUGAAGAAUUGAAAGGCCACUAAACAUCAACUGAAAAAGAAAGUGAAAUCAUUUCUCAGGCAUUGGAUGGCACCAAUAUCACGUUUUAGUUAAUCUCUGAUCUUACGCAAAAUGAAGCCGCUUACAUAACACACCACCAAAGUGGUGUUGGCUUAAAUGGGUCAGCAUGCUGCCCUGUGGCGGGAGGUCAUGUUGGGCCAAGUCAUAUUCGAGGUGGCGUGAGGCUGAUUGGGCCUAAUCACAAUCGAGACCCGUGGGCGCUGUAUUUGUACGCUUUAAAUGAAUUGGUUGCGUAUUUCUACCGGCUCAAGCUUUUGGGAUUAAUGGUUUGCGCCAACGAUCCGACAAGUGGUAUCAGAGCCAGAGGACACGGGUUUGAUUCCCGCAUGCUGCAAAUGUGAGUAGUUGCUGGAGGAGGGAUUGUUGGCUUAAAUGGGCCAGCAUCCUGCCCUGUGGCGAUAGGCCAUGUUGGGCCAGGUCAUAUUCGAGAUGGCGUGAGGCUGGUUGGGCCGAAUCACAAUCGAGACCCGUGGGCAUUGUAUCUGUACGCUUUAAGUGAAUUGGUUGCGUAUUUCUAACAGCUCGAGCUUUUGAGAUUAAUGGAUAGCGCCAACGAUCCAAUAGGUGGCAUAAAAGAGCAGCAAUAAUAUAGUGGUAGAUAGGAAUUGUAACACGAAAAAAUAAGCUUUGUAUGAUAUUGAAGGGUCUCUUCAAAAAUCAGGUCUAUACAAUAAUCAUGAAAACCUGCUCUGAACUCGCAAAAACUGGAAUAAACAGAGCAUUAGCAAUUGGACCUACCAACCAUUGCUCAUGAUUGUUAAGGCCAGUAUAAACACUCUCCUAAGAAAGACUAUUGUCUCUCGCUGACUAAAGAAUAAAAAAUGCUAUAUGUACACCCUAUAUAUUAGGCGUAAAUCUUCCACCCACCCAUCCAAGGGUAUAAAAACUACAUUUGGAUUGGAUUUUCAAUAUAUAUAUAUAUAUAUAUAUAUAUAAAGGUUGAUAAGGCUGGCAGAACUACAUUGGGUUUUGGAUCAAUAGGGUGUAAAAUUUACACCCUAUUUACAGGUGUACAAGUACAUAAAUAAUACAUUGGUUUGUUGCACAAUUCCUAAAAUCUGAAGCAAUACAGUUUUUCUAUUAAAAGAACAAUGUCACGGAAAAAUAUCAGAAAGAACAAAGAAUCCAUGAAUAUUAACGACAAGGAAAAAACAAGAAAGGAAUAAGCAGAAAAUAGCUACUAAUUUAUAAUUACUUUCUGCUCCCAUGUUUCAUUCAUUCCGAUUGAUCAGUAAAAACUACAAAGGCAAUAGGUUCCUAAUAUCUUGUCACUUUAAAUAGAAGCCUUCCUGUGAUCAGAAUAACGAGCAUCUGGAAUUAAAACGUAAAAUGACUUGUAUAAACCCCACUAGGUCUUAAUCCACCAGAUAGUGUGAAAUGCCAGAUAGCUCAUCUAAAAUCUAACAAAUCCGUCGCACGGAUAACUAAACCCAGCAAUCGAUUGCUCUUACCUGCCAAAGGAUUCUCCAAACCCCCCACAACAUCGUCUGAUCCUAGGAAUACGAAAUAAAAUGCUAACUAUAAAGGAACGACACCACUGUCGUCAUCGUCGUCACCAUCACAAUCAAAGGCAUACAUCGCAUCAACAAUCGCAAGCUUCUCAUAAGGAAGAAACAACUAAAACAUCAUCAUCGAUGCAUCAAUAAGCAGAUAAUAUCAUCGUACAAAAAGAGGAAAAUAAUUCGCAUCAAGAGAAUCGAAGCAUCCAGGUUAAAAAAACAAAAACAAACGAAGCAUCCAAGAACAGAGAGGAGAGAAAGGAAACCCUAACCUCAACCUGAUGCUGGGAGCGUCGAUUUGCAGAGGAGGAUCUCGAAAAGAAGUACGAAAACGGAGAAAAAUUGAGGAGAAAAUAAUCGUUUUAUAGCGUCGUCGAAGAGAGUGGGAAACGCCGGUUCUUUUUUUC